GAUGAACGCUGGCGGCGUGCCUAAUACAUGCAAGUCGAGCGAACGGACGAGAAGCUUGCUUCUCUGAUGUUAGCGGCGGACGGGUGAGUAACACGUGGAUAACCUACCUAUAAGACUGGGAUAACUUCGGGAAACCGGAGCUAAUACCGGAUAAUAUUUUGAACCGCAUGGUUCAAAAGUGAAAGACGGUCUUGCUGUCACUUAUAGAUGGAUCCGCGCUGCAUUAGCUAGUUGGUAAGGUAACGGCUUACCAAGGCAACGAUGCGUAGCCGACCUGAGAGGGUGAUCGGCCACACUGGAACUGAGACACGGUCCAGACUCCUACGGGAGGCAGUAGUAGGGAAUCUUCCGCAAUGGGCGAAAGCCUGACGGAGCAACGCCGCGUGAGUGAUGAAGGUCUUCGGAUCGUAAAACUCUGUUAUUAGGGAAGAACAUAUGUGUAAGUAACUGUGCACAUCUUGACGGUACCUAAUCAGAAAGCCACGGCUAACUACGUG
rnacentral:rRNA from 1 species